GCUCUUCUCUUCCUUUUACUUUUUCUACCCAGGAGAAUAAUUAUAUCAAAGAUUGGAACAAAAGAAAAUAAUGAACGGAAAAUUGAGACCCAAGAAUUAUUGAAGUUUAGUGGCAAGACAGAAGUCAAGAUAACUGGUGAUAGUCUGCGAUGCAAUGGAUAACCCUGACAUUUUUGAUGUCUGACCAAGUUCUAAGCACUCUACAGCAUCUACUUUAACAGCCUUCAUGGCUGUUGGAACAAAUUGUUCUCACCCACCCAUUCUUCUAGAAGAACUCUUCAAAUGCUUGAGCUGUCCCAUGCCUCAGCUGUGUGACCUCGG